UACGUAGGGGGCAAGCGUUGUCCGGAAUCAUUGGGCGUAAAGCGCGUGUAGGCGGCUAGGUAAGUCUGCUCUGAAAGCCCGGGGCUCAACCCCGGGAGGCGGGUGGAUACUGUCUAGCUCGAGUCCGGAAGAGGAGUGUGGAAUUCCUGGUGUAGCGGUGAAAUGCGCAGAUAUCAGGAGGAACACCCGUGGCUAAGGCGGCUCUCUAGUACGGUACUGACGCUGAGACGCGAAAGCGUGGGGAGCGAACCGG
rnacentral:rRNA from 1 species